AUGAUGCCUGCCUCCUUGCCCCUCCCUAAACAACAUGGUCCGCUUCAGCUUGCAGGUGAACAAUUUGUGGCCAGCAUGGAAAAGACAUCUCGUGAAAAUCUAGCAGAAGCGUCACUCCAGAAACUCCUCCAACAUGCUGAGAGAAGAGUUGAUUCUCAGCUCAAAGACGCUGAAAUCAAAAUUGUGGAGGUUCAGAAGGUAAAGCAAUCACCAUUUCCCAGGGAGGGAUGCCGCAUCAAUCAGAUCCUAACCUUAUUCACAAACUCAUCACCGAAACUGCAGAUUGAUCAGGUUACAAACGGUAUGGUAUCUUUUCUGUUAUGGGUGCUUUGA
rnacentral:rRNA from 1 species